rnacentral:lncRNA from 1 species
AAAAUUAGACGAAAUAAUAUGUAAAAAGAGGUACCAAAUAGUAAAUAUAUAUUAAUUAUAUUAAAUAACGGAAUAUUUCAUAAAUUCAGGGCAUUUUAGGCAGUUUGGGAUGUGUAUUAAGUAUAAUACUGAAAUGAAAAACUUGAUAGGUGGUGUAUUAAGUAAGGGUGCGUAUUAAGAUAUUAGGGGUGUGUAUUUAAAAUUUCUCAUUCUUUUUAGUGCACAAUAGUCACCUUUUUUUUUUCUUUUUUCUUUAUGUGAUACUGGACUCGGUGGCAUCUGUGGAAAUUUUUUUACUACGAGAGAAAAUUGGUUAAAUAGUGUAAACUCUAAAAAAUGUUCCGAUGCCCAAUUCUGAUGCCCAAGUCAGUGUUGAUUCAAGCAGAUUUCAAAAAGAAAAUAAUUGAUACUUGUUACCGUUGUUACCCAUGAUUGUUCUAUCCACUUGUCUGAUUUAUAGGUCUUUUCUUUUGGUCGUCUCCACGUUGCAUGUCUCACGUCUUUCGCUUUAUCUAGUUGCGAGUCACCUUAGGUUUUAAUCAUCAAGCUUAGGUUAAUGGUUGGAGACCCAACGCUAAAAUUUUACACUCUCAUAAAUUUAUAAUAGAUAUCCAAACCAGGCCACUUCUGGUGUCUACCCGGGGGGUCAGUCUACCCGGGCUGUUUCAUACGUAUCCAAUACGGUUCCGUCCCGUAUCCGUGACUGCAGAGGUUAAGUAUUGAUACGUUUGAGAUUUUGUUACCGUCUCUACUGUUCAGCACGCGUGUUGCACGAUGACUUCCUCUAAAUUGUGAUUCCUCUUCUGAAUUGAAAUCUAGGGUUUUCAUGCGUCCAACAAAGUUUGUAGUUUGAGCCGUCAGUCCGAGCAAUAGAAAUUCAAUUGGGUUAUCCUUAAUUGUUGCCCAGCAACUCUCGGUUUGGGAUCUAGAACCCAUACAUAACUAUCAUGUUCUUGAGGGUGGAUGUUGAAAUUGGGAGGUGGUGGUUUGUGGGUUCUAGGGGAAUGUUUACAUUGGUUAUCUAGGAAGCAAGCGCGGCGACGAUCACGAAUCGCGGUUCCGAAGCCAAAACAGUGGACGGGCUUUCAAAUAUA